GACGAACGCUGGCGGCGUGCUUAACACAUGCAAGUCGAACGGAAAGGCCCUGCUUUUGUGGGGUGCUCGAGUGGCGAACGGGUGAGUAACACGUGAGUAACCUGCCCUUGACUUUGGGAUAACUUCAGGAAACUGGGGCUAAUACCGGAUCGGAGCUCCUGCUGCAUGGUGGGGGUUGGAAAGUUUCGGCGGUUGGGGAUGGACUCGCGGCUUAUCAGCUUGUUGGUGGGGUAGUGGCUUACCAAGGCUUUGACGGGUAGCCGGCCUGAGAGGGUGACCGGCCACAUUGGGACUGAGAUACGGCCCAGACUCCUACGGGAGGCAGCAGUGGGGAAUAGUGCACAAUGGGCGGAAGCCUGAUGCAGCAACGCCGCGUGCGGGAUGACGGCCUUCGGGUUGUAAACCGCUUUCGCCUGUGACGAAGCGUGAGUGACGGUAAUGGGUAAAGAAGCACCGGCUAACUACGUG
rnacentral:rRNA from 1 species